AUGACUACUGGAAAAACCAUAGUUUUGACUAGACAAACCUUUGUUGGCAAAGUAAUGUCUCUGCUUUUUUUUGACUGUGUGGAUCACAAAAAACUGUGGAAAAUUCUGAAAGAGAUGGGAAUACCAGACCACCUGACCUGCCCCUUGAGAAAUCUGUAUGCAGGUCAGGAAGCAACAGGUAGAACUGGACAUGGAACAACAGACUGGUUCCAAAUAGGAAAAGGAGUACGUCCAGACUGUAUAUUUAACUUAUUUAACUUACAUGCAGAGUGCAUCAUGAGAAACGCUGGACUGGAAGAAACACAAGCUGGAAUCAAGAUUGCCGGGAGAAAUAUCAAUAACCUCAGAUGUGCAGAUGACACCACUCUUAUGGCAGAAAGUGAAGAGGAGCUAAAAAGCUUCUUGAUGAAAGUGAAAGUGGAGAGUGAAAAAGUUGGCCUAAAGCUUAACAUUCAGAAAACGAAGAUCAUGGCAUCCGGUCUCAUCACUCCAUGGGAAAUAGAUGGGGAAACAGUGGAAACAGUGUCAGACUUUAUUUUUUUGGGCUCCAAAAUCACUGCAGAUGGUGACUGCAGCCAUGAAAUUAAAAGACGCUUACUCCUUGGAAGAAAAGUUAUGACCAACCUAGAUAGUAUAUUCAAAAGCAGAGACAUUACUUUGCUGACUAAGGUCCAUCUAGUCAAGGCUAUGGUUUUUCCUGUGGUCAUGUAUGGAUGUGAGAGUUGGACUGUGAAGAAGGUUGAGCACCAAAGAACUGAUGCUUUUGAACUGUGGUGUUGGAGAAGACUCUUGAGAGUCCCUUGGACUGCAAAGAGAUCCAACCUGUCCAUUCUGAAGGAGAUCAGCCCUGGGAUUUCUUUGGAAGGAAUGAUGCUAAAGCUGAAACUCCAGUACUUUGGACACCUCAUGCGAAGAGUUGACUCAUUGGAAAAGACUCUGAUGCUGGGAGGGAUUGGGGGCAGGAGGAGAAGGGGCCGACAGAGGAUGAGAUGGCUGGAUGGCAUCACGGACUCGAUGGACGUGAGUCUGAGUGAACUCCGGGAGUUGGUGAUGAACAGGGAGGCCUGGCAUGCUGCGAUUCAUGGGGUUGCAAAGAGUCGGACACGACUGAGUGACUGA
rnacentral:lncRNA from 1 species